GUAUAACUCUCUAGGUGUGUGUGUGUACCAGGGAGUAUAACUCUCUAGGUGUGUGUGUGUACCAGGGAGUAUAACUCUCUAGGUGUGUGUGUGUACCAGGGAGUAUAACUCUCUAGGUGUGUGUGUGUACCAGGGAGUAUAACUCUCUAGGUGUGUGUGUGUACCAGGGAGUAUAACUCUCUAGGUGUGUGUGUGUACCAGGGAGUAUAACUCUCUAGGUGUGUGUGUGUACCAGGGAGUAUAACUCUCUAGGUGUGUGUGUGUACCAGGGAGUAUAACUCUCUAGGUGUGUGUGUGUACCAGGGAGUAUAACUCUCUAGGUGUGUGUGUGUACCAGGGAGUAUAACUCUCUAGGUGUGUGUGUGUACCAGGGAGUAUAACUCUCUAGGUGUGUGUGUGUACCAGGGAGUAUAACUCUCUAGGUGUGUGUGUGUACCAGGGAGUAUAACUCUCUAGGUGUGUGUGUGUACCAGGGAGUAUAACUCUCUAGGUGUGUGUGUGUACCAGGGAGUAUAACUCUCUAGGUGUGUGUGUGUACCAGGGAGUAUAACUCUCUAGGUGUGUGUGUGUACCAGGGAGUAUAACUCUCUAGGUGUGUGUGUGUACCAGGGAGUAUAACUCUCUAGGUGUGUGUGUGUACCAGGGAGUAUAACUCUCUAGGUGUGUGUGUGUACCAGGGAGUAUAACUCUCUAGGUGUGUGUGUGUACCAGGGAGUAUAACUCUCUAGGUGUGUG